ensembl:lncRNA
CGGACUCCGUCCAAGUGACUGGAUCUAAAUUGACUGGAGCAACAACAGCAACUGCCAGAAUGACAGCAGCAGUCAAUGCAACAACAAGCGUUCCCUCCACUACCGAGGCUGCUCCACCGUCCGUGUAUCUGCGAGCAACACUAGAAAAAUUGUUUGUGCCAGAAUUCACAAAUAGAAGCAGUGAAGAAUUCAGGAGGCUUGAGGCCACAGUCAUACGAUUCUGCGACGGCAUCUACGUGACUCGAUUUGGCUCCCGCUUCAUCCGCACUGUCCUCAUAAGGUUUAGCCAAGCUCCAGGCAACAGCAGCACAAGCAAUACUACAGCAGAGGUGAGGCUUGACUUCAACAGCUCUGUGCCAUCUGCACAACUUCCAACUUCUGAUGACGUGGCACGAGUCUUGGUGGACGCUGUCUCCAAUCCCAACAGUACCCUCAAUGUCAGCAUUCUACCGGACUCCGUCCAAGUGACUGGAUCUAAAUUGACUGGAGCAACAACAGCAACUGCCAGAAUGACAGCAGAAGUCAAUGCAACAACAAGCGUUCCCUCCACUACCGAGGCUGCUCCAUUGUCCGUG